UUCCCCUUGCGUAAUCGACUCCCGAACCCGAAUAUGGUUGCGACGACCAUUAUUCCAUUUUUUAAAAGGUUUUAUCGAUAUUUUCCUAUUCCUUCAUUGGGAUUAAUCGACUCCCGAACCCGAAUAUGGUUGCGACGACCAUUAUUCCAUUUUUUAAAAGGUUUUAUCGAUAUUUUCCUAUUCCUUCAUUGGGAUAAAUAAAGUUCGGUGGCGACUCUGUUCGAACAUAAUUUUUUCUACGACCAUCGCGAGGAAUCGUAUUUUUCAAGAUGCGACAAAGAAACUUCUUCACAAUCUCUCCCUUUUUUUAUGAUGACAAAUACUUGAUGAUUGUUGAC
rnacentral:lncRNA from 1 species